CCGCACAAAUGGUUUGCUAUUAGUAAGGGAUUAACUUACUGACUGACCAAUGUUAACUAGCUUAGUGGUUCGCUACGGAUCCAAAAAUGUCAGCAUUAGAAUUUGUUAAGGAUGGACUAAAACUUUGCUGCCUACAAGCUUCAGUAGCUGUGUUAUACUUAGCCUACAGUAAAACUGUAGGUACAACCUAUUGCGCAGUAAAAGAGGAGGGGUUUCCACGAUUCUCUCCUCUUUUCUCUUGAAGAAAAAGUCAGCAAGGCUCAUGAUUCAGCCUCUGGAGAGACACCUCCUCUAUUAUGGUCUCCUCAAGGAGGCGGGCGAGAGCCGGUUCCGAGGACCAACCAGAGGACACUGACCGGGCCAACCUGGUCCGGGGAUUACCGGACUGCUUUCGUCAAAAUGGAUCUGGGGGCUCGUGGUCAGCCCCUGGAAGUUGAGGGCCGAGCUGAUCGACAACGUCCGUACAUGAUCUCAAUUAAAUGGCCAGCUAGAGUAUUGGCGGGUUAUCCAGAAAAGCAUUGGCUGUAUGGUUGACUGAUAGUAAUGACAGACAAGGCAGUUGUUCAUCCUUUUUACAGGCUAUGUUAUGAUGCAAUAAUCCAUGUUAAUCAUUAACUGUUGAAUGUCUUGACCUUGAGUUGUGUUCUUAAUGGGGAGCUAUUGUUGCUGUAAAAUGUUAGUCAUAUAAUUACAUCAUAAUGCAGAAAGUGUCAUUCUGUGGAAAUAUGGAUCUGUUUUUAUCAAGUAAAAACAAACAGACUGAGUCCUUAAUGGAACCUUGUUCCCAAUGUAAAUCAGGAUCUUUGAUCAAGGCCUGUUGUGAUGUAAACGCCAUUUGGGACACUGAAUUAUAUAUUUGCCAGUUCUGUUGCAUGUAAUCCCAAAAGAACAUCAAUGGUUGCUAAUAACAAAAAAGCAGUAAUUUAUUUGGUAGCCGACCAACUCUUUUUGCCGGACCGCAUAAGUGGAGCCAGCCAAGAAGACCAAAUGUCUCUUACUGACUGACUAGUUGCCUGUUGUUAAAUGGUGGAGUGGUUAGCAAUGUGGACGGCCACACAUUUGACUGGGGUUUGAUCCUUAGCAUGAGCCAAACAAAGUAGGCAUUAGGAUUUGUACAGGAUAGGCUGAAACUUUGCUGGCUACAAGCUUCAGUAGCUACAUUAUAGUAAGCCUAAUGUAAAACUGUUUGCGGUUAUGUUGCAAUGGACAAAUUGGAUGGACAAGGACCAUUUCGGAGACAUUAUUUUCAUUAUAGGUACUGUAUAGCUAUUAGCUACCCAUCUACAAUAAUCUCUUUCUCAUUUCUUAUCGCGGGCCAAUGGAACUAGGCUUGCCUGGUUUCUUGUUUCCCAUUUUCUUCUUUUCUGCUCCUUAAAUCUAAGCCCAACAUGGGCCCACAACAAUGUAAUAUCACUGUUCUACCAGAAGAGGGGGCAACUGCUAUUUGGUUAAUUUAGUGCAUGGUUUUCUAAAUAGUGUUGGGGCCUCCCAUGGGAGCAUGUUUGGCUGUUUCCCUUAUCGCAAAACACUGGAUUCAAAUUGUCACUUUAAUCAAGAUAUGAUUAUUUGAAUGAGUAGUGUUGACCGCUUUGACAAGAAAAUCUAAUAGAGCACAGGAUGAGAGAGCAAGAUUCUCACUUUGACUACGGUCAGUGAUAUCUGACCUGGACUUGUACUGACAAGGCUGGACUACCGAAUUUGGGGCCCGGGGCACUGAACUCCAGAGGGCCCCUCUAAGAAAAACAGCUAACUUCCUGAAUUUCAUCACAUUUCCCAUGAUGAGGAGAUUACUCAUUUCAG
ensembl:lncRNA